GGUCAUGCACUAAUAGACAUAGAGAACAUUAUUACAUUCAUAGCAAAAAGAAACUUAUUUAUAGUUAAAAAAAAUUGAAUUUUAUUUGGAGCACAACACAACAGUAAAUAUUAUACUUUCUAUUUACAUGUUUAUCAGUGAAUUCUUGCAGCACAUCUUUAAUUUAGUUGAUUAAAAUUGGAGAAAGUCGAGAUCUUAGAGGAAAAGAAAUACAUUAUUUUAGUCGUGUGAAAUCAGCCAUAGAACUGAGAAGAAUGGGAAUGGCGACGAAAAAGGCGGAAGGGUCGAAAAUAGAAGCGACGAACGAGAGCAAAACAGAUCGAGUGAGGAGAGAGAAAGGAGAAAGAGAGGAUAGAAUGCAUGGAAAAUCAUUAGUUAGACCUUCUAUUUUGCCAUGCCAUCAACAGAUUAUAUGAAAAGUAUAAGGUAAAGCCAUGGACUUGAGAUGCAGCAAGAAUAAAACCAUACCAUAAAACACCAUAUGGGUAGCCC